AUUGAACGCUGGCGGCAGGCCUAACACAUGCAAGUCGAACGAGUGGCGGACGGGUGAGUAAUGGCUGGGAAACUGCCUGAUGGAGGGGGAUAACUACUGGAAACGGUAGCUAAUAACGCAUACCAUCGGAUGUGCCCAGCUGGGAUGAGCUUGUAGGUGGGGUGACGGCUGACCUAGGCGACGAUCCCUAGCUGGUCUGGGAGUAUGACCAGCCACACUGGAACCGAGACACGGUCCAGACGCCUACGGGAGGAAGCAGGGGGGAAUAUUGCACAAUGGGCGCAAGCCUGAUUCAGCCAUGCCGCGUGUAUGAAGAAGGCCUUCGGGUUGUAAAGUACUUUCAGCGGGGAGGCGUUACCCGCAGAAGAAGCACCGGCUAACUCCGUGCCAGCAGCCGCGGUAAUAC
rnacentral:rRNA from 1 species